AGAGAGAGAAAGAGAGAGAGAAAGUAGUGAUUGGCUCCUCAAUGAUCCAAGGUUCCAACAAUGAAGAAGAAUGGAAGAAAGAGGAAUAAAGGGGAGAAACAUAAUAGAAAAAUAGAAGAUCGAGAAUGAAGAAAAGAGGGAGAGAGAAAGAAAUAGAGAGAGAAGGAGAGAAUUAAAGAUGAAUAAUUGUUGUAUAUCUAUUUAACACAAUUUGACAUGACUGAACAUAAUGCAUUUGCCACGUUUUGACAUGAUUCAACAGUUUUAAUCUUUAUAAGAUAAUAUAUUACAUGAAAUUUGUACAUUAAUUUUAAUCACACAUAAAUUUAAUAAUAUACAAAAAUAUAGAAUCUAACACUAAACAAGCACGUCAUAUUUCAACAUUUAGCUAAUUAAUAUUUUAACUAAAAAAUUUUAAAAAAAUUGUAAAACAAUGUAAUUUUUAACUUUUAUAUAAAUUCACAAAUUAAAUAAGUUUAGAAAAGGAAGUAAAAACCAAAUAUAAUAAAGUAACAAGUCUCAUAUAAUAAAUAAUUAGGUUUAUAUUUACUAAUUUAUCAUUUUUUGAUAAUGUUUUUUGCAAAUUAGCAGGUCAAAAUGGGUUGACUCGUGAUAGGAAUAAUAAAGUGUGUCAUAAAUGGGUUAAAACGAUUUCGACGUGAACAUAAAUAAGCUCAACCCUAACUCUCUAUUUUCAUGUCAUAUUCGUUUUGUGUCUACGGGUUGUGUCUAAAAUUGCCACCCCUGGUUUACAGCUUUAUGCCAGCCCUUGGAUGCCUACUCUAGGUUGAUCACAGUUGAAGUGGGUAUAUAUUAUUGAUACAAAGAAAAGAAUCGUCCAUUGUUGAUACUUGAAUAAUUUCAAGUCAAAACUCCUGCUUCCUUUUGUAGUAAGUGGUGCUGACUACUAAAAUUAUUUCUUUUCAGCUCUUGCUGUUUGGUGGGCAUGGG
rnacentral:misc_RNA from 1 species